rnacentral:lncRNA from 1 species
AACACACGGAAGGCCGCAGGGUCCUCUGCCUAGGAAAACCAGAGACCUUUGUUCACAUGUUUAUCUGCUGACCUUCCCUCCACUGUUGUCCUAUGACCCAGCCAAAUCCCCCUCUCCGAGAAACACCCAAGAAUGAUCAAUAAAUACUAAAAAAAAAAAACAAAAAACUGAUCCCGCAGAAGUACAGGCCACUUAGCUUAGCCUGCAGUGAGUCCUCAAUGCAGCUGCUUUGGCUCACCCGGCUGUCGGCUCAGACGCCGACCCAUUUCAAUCAUCAGGAGAGGAGAAGACACACAGGGCCGCCCCAAGGACCCCGUCACCAGCUCAGGCCAGGUCACAGAAUGGAGGUGAUGAGCCCCUGCGGAGACGCCGCGCCCCUGGGGAGACGCCGCACCACAUCAGUGCACAGGAGGCAUCUCACGUUUUGCGGGGCUUGGGAGAGAGGGACCCAUGACGAGAGGACCCCCGCCCAACCACGUGUCGCGAGAGCAGCAUGAAGCCGCGCGCCCCCUCCAGGCAGAGCUGCUGCUAAAAUGACACCCUGUCGGUUACGGUUAGCAUCACUUCCAUCAGCACCACUUCUAGUCAGCUUCCUUUUGAAAACUGCUUCAGGGAAGCUGCUCCAGAAGCCCAUGCAUGUGCCCUGCCACAGCCGCAGCCUCUUUGGGGACACUGCUGUCGCGAUGGUUUCUGCAGAGCCAGCCCGGGGUCCCCACCGUGCCUGCCUCUCCAGUCACUCAGUCCUUUCUCCUGGAACCGGGUCAAGUCCCUCUGCGUGUCUGAACCGGGACAAGGCCCUGCCUGCUUCCAUACCUGAAGCUGGGCCCCAGGGCACCUUCCCAUCCACAUCCGAGACCACCUUCUUAACGGCCAACGGCCACUCAACCCCCCACAGCCAAGACUUCUACCUGUCGCUUUCCAAGACUGAACAUUUUCAGCUUCGCCAUUAAAAAAUACACCCAGAAGGCCGGGCAUAGUGGCUCAUGCCUGUAAUCCCAGCACUUUGGGAGGCCGAGACGGGCGGAUCACAAGGUCAGGAGAUCGAGACCAUCCUGGCUAACGCAGUAAAACCCCGUCUCUACUAAAAAUAUAAAAAAUUAGCCGGGUGUGGUGGCAGGCGCCUGUAGUCCCACCUACUCCGGAGGCAGGAGAAUGGCGUGAACCCGGUGGGUGGAGCUUGCAGUGCGCCGAGAUUGCCCCACUGCACUCCAGCCUGGGGGAUAGAGCGAGACUCUGUCUCUAAAAAAAAAAAAAAAAAAAAAAAAAUACACCCAGAAACAGGUGUGGCCACAGGUCUGCGUGUGCUGGAACAUGAGUAGAAGCCACUGUCGCGCCCAAUUCCCCAGCACGAGACAAGCUGAGACAACCUGCAGCCGGUGACCUGGGAGAGCUGGGCACGGACCUCAGGGGCCAGGUGAGCACGGAGCUCUGGCUCCGAGGUCAGCCGGGAUCUCCCAAGUCACACAGUCCACACUCGCAACAACUCUGUCUGCUUCUGGUAUUCCAGGAGCUCAGCUCCCAAGUGGCAAAUGAAAGGACGCUCUGGCCUCUGCCAGCAUGCUCCACGGCCUCGCGGUAACAGUGGGGCGUGCAGAGAACAGCCCUCUCCUGGUUAUGCAUGGACGUUAUCUCCUGACCUCCAGGCGCACAAUGACAACUGAGGUCAAAACGCAGGCAGGAAGGAGGGCCAGCGAUACAGCUUAGCCGGUCUGGCUGUUCACCGUCCUGCUGCACUCUACGACACAUCUGCUGGGAGAAAGCACUAGACCGGGGCAUCCUGCCUGGCUUUCAGCCAAGUCAGCCUGUUCUCAGUGCCCUCCCACAUGCCAGAAUAUCUAGACAAGCCUGACCGAUGCCAGCCACUACUCCAGAAAAUAGGGUGAUUUUCUCUGUGCAGAACAAAAGAUGACCAAGAAAAAAAUCGGGUCAUUCCGAUCAACUCGGUACAAUCUCUGACCAACUGCCAUUAAAAGGCUGAAAUCCUUUAUUGCCAAGGCAGCAGAAUGAACGUGGAUCAGAAUGGAGAAACAGACCUAUGUUCCUGCAGGCAUGUGAUUUUCAACAAAGGUUCCUAAGGUAUUCAAUGGAGAAUAAAAAGCCUUUUCUUUUUUCUUUUUUUUGAGAUGAGUCUUGCUCUAUUGCCCAGGCUGGAAUGUAGCAGCACAAUCUUGGCUCACUGCAACCUCCGCCUCCCGGGUUCAAGUGAUUCUCCUAUCUCAGCCUCCCGAGUAGCUGGGAUUACA